GUUUUUUGGUUUGUCUUUUAUUUUUUCCCCUAGAGACAAGGUCUCACUCUGUCACCCAGAAACAGAAUAAAAAUAAGAAGAAAGUAGUCUCAGGGGAAGGAGACUAAAUUAACGAUGGGAUGUGCUUGAUGUAAGGAUUUUCUCUCUACAGCUUUGUCAGACCCUGGGUACCCAGGACUGCUACCUGCUGCCAGGGAGGGCGCCCGGUUGCUUAGCUGUCCAGCACCAGCUGAGCUUUGCCAUGACCCUGCACGUUGGAUUUACUAAAUAGACUUAUGAAAUGUAUUUCUGUCUAGCGAAAAUGGGGUUUCUUGAAAUAUUAUAUUUUUUAGAGUGAAUUUUUAGGUGCAGAGAACUAUAUGCAAAUUGCCCCUGGGGAAGUUUAUUGAUGAGGGAGUCAAAUGUAGGCGGCAGUCAAAUGUAGGCAGGAAUCAAGUGUAGGCGGGAGUCAAAUGUAGGCGGGAGUCAAAUGUAGGUGGGAGUCAGUCAAAUGUAGGUGGGAGUCAAAUGUAGGUGGGAGUCAGUCCAAUGCAGGACAGAGUCCAGUGGAGGCGGUAGUCAAAUGCAGGUGGGAGUCAAAUGGAGGUAAGAGCCAAAUGGAGGUGGGAGCUAAAUGUAGGCAGGAGUCAGUCAAAUGUAGGUGGGAGUCAGUCAAAGGUAGGCGGGAGUCAAAUGUUGGUGGGAGUCAAAUGUAGGUGGGAGUCAGUCAAAUGUAGGCAAGAGUCAAAUGUAGGCGGGAGUCAAAUGUAGGCAAGAGUCAAAUGUAGGCGGGAGUCAAAUGUAGGCGGGAGUCAGUCAAAUGUAGGUGGGAGUCAGUCAAAUGUAGGUGGGAGUGAAAUGUAGGUGGGGGUCAAAUGUAGGCAGGAGUCAGUCAAAUGUAGGUGGGAGUCAAAUGUAGGCGGGAGUCAGUCAAAUGUAGGCGGGAGUCAGUCAAAUGUAGGUGGGACUCAAAUGUAGGUGGGGGUCAAAUGUAGGCAGGAGUCAGUCAAAUGUAGGUGGGAGUCAAAUGUAGGCGGGAGUCAAAUGUAGGCAGAGUCAGUCAAAUGUAGGCGGGAGUCAAAUGUAGGCAGGAGUCAAAUGUAGGUGGGAGUCAAAUGUAGGCAUAGUUCUAAAUGUUUAAGAAAACUCCCAUGACCUCUGGAGGCUCUGCUACCUGAGAUAACUUGAGAUUCACUGGCAUACAGGGAGUAACCAUCUCUGCCUUCUGGAAUGUUCCCAUGCCAACUUAGGGGUAAAAUUCAGAAGUGAGGCUAGGUGGGGUGGCUCAUGCCUAUAACCCCGGCACUUUGGGAGGCCGAGGCAGGCGGAUCACGAGGUCAG
rnacentral:lncRNA from 1 species